rnacentral:ncRNA from 1 species
CGCCGAGUACGCAACUGGCGAUAGGCGCGCAACCCUCGGAUCGAUCCGGGAGGUCUGCCGCUGACGUGGCCCCCCUGCCCGAUCACACCCAACAUCGAUCUGCGGCCGGGACAACCACUGGGAAGCGUGCCACCCCAGCUGAUGCAGCGCGGGUGUUCAGCCGUUCGCCUGGGCAGCCCUU